rnacentral:RNase_P_RNA from 1 species
ACUACAAGCUGAGCUAUCGCUUUUUUGAAAAACAGAGAGAGGAAAGUCCGGACAGCACAGAGCACUCUGCCACCUAACGGGUGGGCUUGUUCAUUGAGAAGUGGAUAAGACGGAAAGUGUAACAGAAAAUAACUACCUGUUUUUAUUUAUAAAGAUGGGAAAAGGUGAAAACGUGCGGUAAGAGCGCACGACAAGGUAUGGCAACAUAUCUUGGGUAAAAACCUCAGAGGCUGAAAGACCAAAUAUAUCUUGUACAGGGCUGCUCGCCCUUUUUGACAAUAGAGGCAACUCUAUUUCAUAAGCAAGAAGGGUAGGUCGUAUGAGUUUUGGUGUGAGCCAAAAUCGAGAUAAAUGAUAGCUGAUCAUUUCGGUGAUACAGAAUCCGGCUUAUGGCUUGUAGUAUAA